rnacentral:rRNA from 1 species
AUUGAACGCUGGCGGCAGGCCUAACACAUGCAAGUCGAACGAAGUCUUCGGACUUAGUGGCGGACGGGCGAGUAACACGUGGGAACGUGCCUUUAGGUUCGGAAUAACUCAGGGAAACUUGUGCUAAUACCGAAUGUGCCCUUCGGGGGAAAGAUUUAUCGCCUUUAGAGCGGCCCGCGUCUGAUUAGCUAGUUGGUGAGGUAAUGGCUCACCAAGGCUACGAUCAGUAGCUGGUCUGAGAGGAUGACCAGCCACAUUGGGACUGAGACACGGCCCAAGCUCCUACGGGAGGCGGCAGUGGGGAAUCUUGCGCAAUGGGCGAAAGCCUGACGCAGCCAUGCCGCGUGGAUGAUGAAGGUCUUAGGAUUGUAAAAUCCUUUCACCGGUGAAGAUAAUGACUGUAGCCGGAGAAGAAGCCCCGGCUAACUUCGUGCCAGCCGCCGCCGUAAAAC